rnacentral:rRNA from 1 species
UGCUUCGGAAUCUGCCCAUUGGUGGGGAAUAACUAGCCGAAAGGUUAGCUAAUACCGCAUGAGCCCUACGGGGGAAAGCAGGGGAUCGUAAGACCUUGCGCCGAUGGAUGAGCCGAAGUCGGAUUAGCUAGUUGGUAGGGUAACGGCCUACCAAGGCGACGAUCCGUAGCUGGUCUGAGAGGACGACCAGCCACACUGGGACUGAGACACGGCCCAGACUCCUACGGGAGGCAGCAGUGGGGAAUAUUGGACAAUGGGGGAAACCCUGAUCCAGCGACGCCGCGUGUGUGAAGAAGGCCU